GACGCAUGCAGGUGGUUUGUUAAGUCAGAUGUGAAAGGCCCGGGGCUCAACCUCGGAAUUGCUAUUUAGAAACUGGCAGACUAGAGUACUGUAGAGGGGGGUAGGAAUUUCAGGUGUAGCGGUGAAAUGCGUAGAGAUCUGAAGGAAUACCGGUGGCGAAGGCGGCCCCCUGGACAGAUACUGACACUCAGAUGCGAAAGCGUGGGGAGCAAACAGGAUUAGAUACCCUGGUAG
rnacentral:rRNA from 1 species